rnacentral:rRNA from 1 species
GAUGAACGCUGGCGGCGUGCCUAAUACAUGCAAGUCGAGCGAACAGACGAGGAGCUUGCUCCUCUGACGUUAGCGGCGGACGGGUGAGUAACACGUGAAUAACCUACCUAUAAGACUGGGAUAACUUCGGGAAACCGGAGCUAAUACCGGAUAAUAUUUUGAACCGAAUGGUUCAUUAGUGAAAGACGGUUUUGCUGUCACUUAUAGAUGGAUCCGCGCCGAAUUAGCUAGUUGGUAAGGUAACGGCUUACCAAGGCAACGAUGCGUAGCCGACCUGAGAGGGUGAUCGGCCACACUGGAACUGAGACACGGUCCAGACUCCUACGGGAGGCAGCAGUAGGGAAUCUUCCGCAAUGGGCGAAAGCCUGACGGAGCAACGCCGCGUGAGUGAUGAAGGUCUUCGGAUCGUAAAACUCUGUUAUUAGGGAAGAACAAAUGUGUAAGUAACUAUGCACGUCUUGACGGUACCUAAUCAGAAAGCCACGGCUAACUACGUG